rnacentral:rRNA from 1 species
UUUCGCAAUGCCCGAAAGGGUGACGAAGCGACGCCGCGUGAGUGAGGAAGGCCUUCGGGUUGUAAAGCUCUGUCAGGGGUUAAGAAAUAUAAGUGUGUUAAUACCACAUUUAUUUGACGAAGGCUCCAAAGGAAGCCACGGCUAACUCUGUGCCAGCAGCCGCGGUAAUACAGAGGUGGCAAGCGUUGUUCGGAAUUAUUGGGCGUAAAGAGCACGUAGGUGGGUUUGUAAGUCAGAUGUGAAAGCCUUCUGUUCAACGGAAGAAUUGCAUCUGAAACUGCGAGUCUUGAGUGUAGGAGGGGAGAAUGGAACUUCUGGUGGAGCGGUGAAAUGCGUAGAUAUCAGAAGGAACGCCGGCGGCGAAAGCGAUUCUCUGGCCUAUUACUGACACUCGGUGUGCGAAAGCUAGGGGAGCAAACGGGAUUAGAUACCCCGGUAGUCCUAGCUGUAAACGAUGGGCACUAAGUAGAGGGGUUUUA